rnacentral:rRNA from 1 species
UACGUAGGGCGCAAGCGUUGUCCGGAAUUAUUGGGCGUAAAGAGCUCGUAGGCGGUUUGUCGCGUCUGCCGUGAAAGCCCGGGGCUUAACUCCGGGUCUGCGGUGGAUACGGGCAGACUAGAGGCAGGUAGGGGAGAACGGAAUUCCCGGUGUAGCGGUGAAAUGCGCAGAUAUCAGGAAGAACACCCGUGGCGAAGGCGGCUCUCUGGGACGGUACUGACGCUGAGACGCGAAAGCGUGGGGAGCAAACAGG